rnacentral:rRNA from 2 species
CGGGAGGCAGCAGUAGGGAAUCUUCCACAAUGGACGAAAGUCUGAUGGAGCAACGCCGCGUGAGUGAUGAAGGUUUUCGGAUCGUAAAACUCUGUUGUUAAAGAAGAACAAGUGUUAGAGUAACUGUUAACACUUUGACGGUAUUUAACCAGAAAGCCACGGCUAACUACGUGCCAGCAGCCGCGGUAAUACGUAGGUGGCAAGCGUUGUCCGGAUUUAUUGGGCGUAAAGCGAGCGCAGGCGGUUUUGUAAGUCUGCUGUGAAAGCCCUCAGCUCAACUGAGGAAGUGCAGUGGAAACUACAAAACUUGAGUACAGAAGAGGAAAGUGGAACUCCAUGUGUAGCGGUGAAAUGCGUAGAUAUAUGGAAGAACACCAGUGGCGAAGGCGGCUUUCUGGUCUGUUACUGACGCUGAGGCUCGAAAGCAUGGGUAGCGAACAGGAUUAGAUACCCCUGGUAGUCCAUGCCGUAAACGAUGAAUACUAGGUGUUGGAGGGUUUCCGCCCUUCAGUGCCGCAGCUAACGCAUUAAGUAUUCCGCCUGGGGAGUACGACCGCAAGGUUGAAACUCAAAGGAAUUGACGGGGGCCCGCACAAGUGGUGGAGCAUGUGGUUUAAUUCGAUGCUACGCGAAGAACCUUACCAGCUCUUGACAUCUUCUGCCAACCCAAGAGAUUGGGCGUUCCCUUCGGGGACAGAAUGACAGGUGGUGCAUGGUUGUCGUCAGCUCGUGUCGUGAGAUGUUGGGUUAAGUCCCGCAACGAGCGCAACCCUUAUUAUUAGUUGCCAGCAUUUAGUUGGGCACUCUAGUGAGACUGCCGGUGAUAAACCGGAGGAAGGUGGGGACGACGUCAAAUCAUCAUGCCCCUUAUGAGCUGGGCUACACACGUGCUACAAUGGAUGGUACAACGAGUCGCGAAACCGCGAGGUCAAGCUAAUCUCUUAAAGCCAUUCUCAGUUCGGAUUGCAGGCUGCAACUCGCCUGCAUGAAGUUGGAAUCACUAGUAAUCGUGGAUCAGCAUGCCACGGUGAAUACGUUCCCGGGCCUUGUACA